rnacentral:rRNA from 1 species
UUGCACGCUGGCGGCAGGCCUAACACAUGCAAGUCGAGCGGAUGAAGGGAGCUUGCUCCUGGAUUCAGCGGCGGACGGGUGAGUAAUGCCUAGGAAUCUGCCUGGUAGUGGGGGAUAACGUCCGGAAACGGGCGCUAAUACCGCAUACGUCCUGAGGGAGAAAGUGGGGGAUCUUCGGACCUCACGCUAUCAGAUGAGCCUAGGUCGGAUUAGCUAGUUGGUGGGGUAAAGGCCUACCAAGGCGACGAUCCGUAACUGGUCUGAGAGGAUGAUCAGUCACACUGGAACUGAGACACGGUCCAGACUCCUACGGGAGGCAGCAGUGGGGAAUAUUGGACAAUGGGCGAAAGCCUGAUCCAACCAUGCCGCGUGUGUGAAGAAGGUCUUCGGAUUGUAAAGCACUUUAAGUUGGGAGGAAGGGCAGUAAGUUAAUACCUUGCUGUUUUGACGUUACCAACAGAAUAAGCACCGGCUAACUUCGUA